GAUGAGCCCGCGUUGGAUUAGCUAGUUGGUGAGGUAAAGCCUCACCAAGGCGACGAUCCAUAGCUGGUCUGAGAGGAUGAUCAGCCACACUGGGACUGAGACACGGCCCAGACUCCUACGGGAGGCAGCAGUGGGGAAUAUUGGACAAUGGGCGCAAGCCUGAUCCAGCCAUGCCGCGUGAGUGAUGAAGGUCUUAGGAUUGUAAAGCUCUUUCACCGGUGAAGAUAAUGACGGUAACCGGAGAAGAAGCCCCAGCUAACUUCGUGCCAGCAGCCGCGGUAAUACGAAGGGGGCUAGCGUUGUUCGGAUUUACUGGGCGUAAAGCGCACGUAGGCGGACUUUUAAGUCAGGGGUGAAAUCCCGGGGCUCAACCCCGGAACUGCCUUUGAUACUGGAAGUCUUGAGUAUGGAAGAGGUGAGUGGAAUUCCGAGUGUAGAGGUGAAAUUCGUAGAUAUUCGGAGGAACACCAGUGGCGAAGGCGGCUCACUGGUCCAUUACUGACGCUGAGGUGCGAAAGCGUGGGGAGCAAACA
rnacentral:rRNA from 1 species